UCGAAAACUGAAGCGCCAACCGCCUCAUAUCCGCGCCCUGGCGAAGCGAUUUUUUUUCGUUUAAUUUCCCCGUGCCCCAAACUCAUCCCUUCGCCAAACCCUAACUCAUCUCUUCCCCCCCCCCACCCCCUCCGGCCGCCGCCACGGUCCUCUCUCCAUCGAUCAGCCCUCCCAUAGACCGCGACACCCCUAUCCACCUGUCUCCCUCUGGAGGCGUCUGGCAGGACCGAGGAGUAGCUCGUUUCUUUCCUUUCCCUCCCAAGGCGGCGCAGCUGCAAGUAUAGGACGAGUCGCCGCGGCCGGCCUCUGCGCUGGUCUCGCUGACCGUGGAUCUGGCCGCUUGGGUCUCGGAUUCCCGCCCUGCGUUAGCGGCGGCGCUCCAGGGUCGGCAGCCGGGUCUCCAGCGCCCCGCGUUCUUGGCAUCGGAAGAUCCACCAGAUUAAGGGUGCGACCGUCGGAGCAUGAUUGCGUCAGGGCGCAGGCGCGUGUCCCGUUUCCGGCCGGACGGAGCUGGUAACUUCUAUUUGCUGCUGCAACUUGCCCAUUUUGACAAGUAUGAAGACCCAUUGGUUCUUUCUAUCAGUAAAUUUUCGCCCAAGGAAGUACAUGAUGUCCCUGUCUUCAAAUUGUGCGCAUGCUUUUUAGCAUAUUUUUCUUGUUUGUUCUUAACUAAGGCAUGAAUUUUCUGUUUUGUAGCUUUGGGUUAUUUAUGCAUUCUGCUAUACCCCUGUCUUAAGGGGCAAACUUGCCUGCUUCCGUCAAGUCUAUCAAAUCAAAAUAUUUGUUUGCCAAAACUGUUUUUUUUAUAUUGCCAACUUGAUCCUUUUCUAUAAAGAAACAUCACGUCAAUUACUAUGUCAUUUUCACUUUACAUUAUCUCUGGUUUUAACCUCAUGCUUAUAAUCGGAAACUUUAUGUCAUGGAUUAAUCUGUCUCAAGUACCUUACCAGACAUGUACCUAGCAACCAUUAGUCACCAUUAACAUAACUAAUCGACCUCCAUAUGCACAUUCUGUAAACUAGUUCUACUAUUGCUGUUAAGUUGUUUACACAGGCAUGAUCCUAGCUUUUAAGUUCAUCUGAAUAACAAUUCAUACGUUUAUACAAGCUUCAUGAUUUCUGCUUCUGUUUGUAAUUGUGGUGUUGAAUUGUUGGCAGAUAUUGCAUUCACAUAAGUGCUAUUUCCAGGAAAUCAUCUCUUUUACAAGAGCUAUAGGCUGAAGAAGUUAAGAGGAAGCGUGAAGAAGUGCCAGGGUAUCAGAAGGGUAGCUGGCGUUUACACUUCCUGAGCGUUCUAGUUGCAGAGCGUAUUGUGUUAUGCAAUAUUAUAUGGUUAACUCGGUGACGCGUGAAGAAUUUCAAGGGUUUCAAUGAUUUGAUGGUUAACUGGUCUGGUUGAGAUGUGAACUAGAGUGGAAUUUCCUGUGUUUUCUAUUUGUCGUGACUAAGAUAUUGUAAUUGUAAUACUAAAUUAAAUUUGGCUGCUAUUUGAUGAUUUUAACGUAUUUUCCUCCA